rnacentral:rRNA from 1 species
ACGCGGGAUUAUUAAGAGCACUUGAUGGAUGCCUUGGCGUUAAGAGGCGAUGAAGGACGUGGCAGGCUGCGAUAAGCUGCGGGAAAUUGUCAACAAAUUUUGAUCCGCAGAUUUCCGAAUGGGGAAACCCAACUAGCUUAGCUAGUUAUUAUAUACUAAGUAUAUAAAGCAAACUUGGUGAACUGAAAUAUCUAAGUAGCCAAAGGAAAAGAAAUCAACCGAGAUUCUGUUAGUAGUGACGAGCGAAAGCGGAAAAGGCUAGUGAUUUAAAAAUAAGAAUUAGAAUACUCUGGAAAUGGUAACCAUAGAAGGUGAUAGUCCUGU